rnacentral:rRNA from 1 species
UACGGAGGGUGCGAGCGUUGUCCGGAAUCAUUGGGCGUAAAGGGCGCGUAGGCGGUCUGUCGCGUCGGCUGUGAAAACCCGGGGCUCAACCCCGGGCCUGCAGUCGAUACGGGCAGACUAGAGUGCGGUAGGGGAGACUGGAAUUCCCGGUGUAGUGGUGAAAUGCGUAGAGAUCGGGAGGAACACCAGAGGCGAAGGCGGCGACCUGGACAGGUACUGACACUCAACUACGAAAGCGUGGGGAGCAAACAGG